rnacentral:rRNA from 1 species
GAUGAACGCUGGCGGCGUGCCUAAUACAUGCAAGUCGAGCGAACAGACGAGGAGCUUGCUCCUCUGACGUUAGCGGAGGACGGGUGAGUAACACGUGGAUAACCUACCUAUAAGACGGGGAAAACUUCGGGAAACCGGAGCUAAUACCGGAGAAUCUAUUGAACCGCGUGGGUCAAUAGUGAAAGACGGUGUUGCUGUCACUAAUAGAGGGAUACGCGCCGGAUUAGCUAGUUGUGAAGGUAAAGGCUUACCACGGGGACGAUGCGUAGCCGAGCUGUGAGGGUGAUCGGCCACACUGGAGCUGGGACACCGUCCAGACUCCUACGGGAGGCAGCAGUAGGGAAUCUUCCGCAAUGGGCGAAAGCCUGACGGAGCAGCGCCGCGUGAGUGAUGAAGGUCUUCGGAUCGUAAAACUCUGUUAUUAGUUAAGAACAAAUGUGUAAGUAACUAUGCACGUCUUGACGGUACCUAAUCAGAAAGCCACGGCUAACUACGUG